rnacentral:lncRNA from 1 species
CAAGUGUAGUUCCUUCCUAAGGGAAUGUUUCCUGACAGAACAGGCAUGAUGUUGCAAAGUGAAAUUCAGGCAGGUGUGCCAACCAUCUUCAAUUUCUGGACACUGAACACCUGUGGGCCUACAGGACCAUACACUCCUGCUUGUAAAAAUUUCUAUUUCUGAAUAACAGUUAUCUAAUUUGUCAUGAUGGAGCUGUACUGGAAUGAAUCCUCUGAGGACUUCAUGCAAGGGAGCAGUUGCACGCUGACAUCUUGUGCAUCAUAAGCAGGUAAAAGAACUUCUGAACCUGUGUAUAAAUAUACCGUAAGUCUGUGUCCUUCCCAUUGAGGAUUGACAGUGGUAGAUUGUUUUUCCCAAAGAGAGCAUGCUCCACU